GAGGGUAUAGCUCAGUGGUAGAGUGCUUGCGUGCUUGCUUAGCAUGCAUGAGGCCCUAGGUUCAAUCUCCAGUACCUCCG
rnacentral:tRNA from 1 species